AGUAUGGCCGCGGGGACCUCAUUGGAGUGGUGGAGGCACUGACCCGGCAGCCGCGAGCCACGACGGUGCACGCGGUGAGAGACACAGAGCUGGCCAAACUCCCCGAGGGCACUUUGGGCCACAUCAAACGGCGCUACCCGCAGGUCGUGACCCGCCCUCAUUCACCUCCUGAGCCAGAAAAUCCUGGGGAAUUUGCAGCAGCUGCAAGGACCUUUCCCGGGUGAGAGCCAGUCGGCUCCGGGGCAUGCUGUGGGAUGUAGUUUGGUGCCCAGAGCAUGCUGGGAGGGAAAGCCUUAUGGGGGGAGGGGUUAUUGGGAAACAGUUCAUCAUUUGAACCGUGCUGGAGGUGGGGUUAAAGCCGGAAGUGGAACCUAGGGUCCAGUGCAUGCUGGGAAGUGGAGUUCUUGUGUAAUGUACUCUGAAGUGUCAGUCAUGCUUGAGGGUGGAGCCUUAAACCAGAAGGCUGGUUCCAGAUGUUAGAACUUGCUGCACCCUUGGUCGUACUGGGAAGGGUGGCUUUUAGGAUUCAGGGCAUGUUGGGAAGUGGCCUCUGAAGUUAUCAGCAUGUUGAGAGGUAUAUGUAGAUCCAUGUCCCAGCUUGUGAUUCUCAGCAAGUAUAAACUGGGAAGUGAGCUGAGCCCAAGGCAUGCUGAAAUGUGGGCCUGAGGUUCUGCAUGACAGUGACCAAAUUCCCUCAGGAGCUUUCACCCCAUCAGCUGUAACCUCCACCCCUGUGUUGGGACUGGAAUUGAUGACUUACUUACAAAGUACACAGAAAGGGCUGAGGAAUGUAGCUUCCCCAAUGUAGAGUGCUUGACUAACACGCUCUGGUUCAGUCCCUAGUACCACAAGGGAAAAACAGACAGCACAAUGUCAGGAGCUGAUAAGGACAGUAAAGAAGUAGGGUUGUAAUGUAUGUGACCACUGUCAGGAGAGAGGGAGGCCUUUUUUUUUU
rnacentral:lncRNA from 1 species